CAUAAUCUUCCAUUAUCUUAGCCCGCAAAUGAACUCAUUUGUGAUAGUAGAUGACAUUAUUUGGGCAUUAGUAUUAGGUUCGACGUGAGGGUGGUUUAUUAUCUCAUCUUCGUGUGAGACGUUUGCACCGCAAACUUGUGUCUCUUUUUUGCAGCAGCAGCAGCUUUUUUGAAAACGAGCGGGAAAUGACCAAUGGCUGGCAUUUUUUCACCAGCCGACCGCCUCUGCAAUGCCUCUGCUCAAGGAAAUUUAACAGAGGUUUUGCGCUUGCUGGAAAAUGAAUCAGCAGUUAAUGGAAGGAAUACUUUUAAAAGAACUGCAUUACAGGUAGUCAAGCUGGGCAGCACUCCGGUCGUCGAGGCCCUGCUGUCGGCUGGAGCUGACCCCAACCUCCGCGACCCUGUCCUCGGCGUCACGGUCACUCACGACGCCGCGCGAGAAGGCUUCCUGGACACCGUGUUGGUGCUACUAGCCCACGGGGCGGACGUCAACCUAGCGGACGAGCGUGGAAACCUCCCGCUGCACCUCGCCGCCAAGGCGGGCCACGCAGAACUGGUCCGGGUCCUCACGGCGGUCACCUCGGAGCCCAUGAAGGUGAACUGUGACGGUCAUACAGCCGCACAGUUGGCGCUCCUCCACGGGUGAUCCACCGCUAUCUGCGGUCAGAAAGAGAAGUUAAAAAAGUCAAGUUGAUGACGCAGCCUUGUAUUGGUCAGAAGACUGAUGAAGACGUCAUGUGGAUCAUCACACCCCAGUCUUUUUGCUUGUUUCCGCAUUUAUCUUCAACUGAAAACAUGCCUGUGUAUUACAUGGAGUUAUGGGGGAUUUCAUAAUGCAUGGGGCAUAAAUAACAGCAAAAUAUUGGAAGGGAGUAUUUCAAUUUUUAUCUGUAAGUGUUUGGGGUUUUUUGUACUGGUACAGGCGGUGUGCAGUCAGGGGAGGCAGAUGAGGCUUCACCUCAAAAUGCUAAAAAAUUAAAAAUGAAUCAUGAUAACAUACAAUAAAUAUAGAUGGAGUCAAUUGAACUGUAUUAUAAAUGCAUUUUCUCUAUAAUUCAAAUCUUUUUGGACAUUUUUGUAAGAAAAAAAUUGCUGAACUUUAUGUUUCCUGAUCAACUACAGGACAGAAACCUAAGAUGCGGCUGCCACGGCCGUCUCAUCUGGGCUUAUUGGUUUUGGUUUAUCAUAAUAAAAUGUUGCAGAAACUUUUAUUAUACACCAUGACUUUGUAUAGCCUAUAUAGUGGCUUUAAUUGAAA